rnacentral:rRNA from 1 species
AGGGGCUACACACGUGCUACAAUGGCCGGUACAAAGGGCUGCAAGACCGUGAGGUUGAGCGAAUCCCAGAAAGCCGGUCUCAGUUCGGAUUGGAGUCUGCAACUCGACUCCAUGAAGUUGGAAUCGCUAGUAAUCGCGGAUCAGCAUGCCGCGGUCGAAUACGUUCCCGGGCCUU